AGAGGAAGUAAAAGUCGUAACAAGGUUUCCGUAGGUGAACCUGCGGAAGGAUCAUUACAGUAUUCUUUUUGCCAGCGCUUAAUUGCGCGGCGAAAAAACCUUACACACAGUGUUUUUUGUUAUUACAAGAACUUUUGCUUUGGUCUGGACUAGAAAUAGUUUGGGCCAGAGGUUUACUGAACUAAACUUCAAUAUUUAUAUUGAAUUGUUAUUUAUUUAAUUGUCAAUUUGUUGAUUAAAUUCAAAAAAUCUUCAAAACUUUCAACAACGGAUCUCUUGGUUCUCGCAUCGAUGAAGAACGCAGCGAAAUGCGAUAAGUAAUAUGAAUUGCAGAUUUUCGUGAAUCAUCGAAUCUUUGAACGCACAUUGCGCCCUCUGGUAUUCCAGAGGGCAUGCCUGUUUGAGCGUCAUUUCUCUCUCAAACCUUCGGGUUUGGUAUUGAGUGAUACUCUUAGUCGAACUAGGCGUUUGCUUGAAAUGUAUUGGCAUGAGUGGUACUGGAUAGUGCUAUAUGACUUUCAAUGUAUUAGGUUUAUCCAACUCGUUGAAUAGUUUAAUGGUAUAUUUCUCGGUAUUCUAGGCUCGGCCUUACAAUAUAACAAACAAGUUUGACCUCAAAUCAGGUAGGAUUACCCGCUGAACUUAAGCAUAUCAAUA
rnacentral:rRNA from 1 species